UACUUAAAAUAAAAUUAGAUUUAUAUAACUCCGUCAGUAUUUAAAAUACACUAAUAGUUGGUAACAUAUAGCCAUUAAUACUCAAAAUACACCAAGAGUUGGCAUUAUAAGCCACUAAUACUCAAAAUACAUCAAAAGUUGACAUUAUAAGCCACUAGUACUCUAUACACUGAAAUUCAGUUGGCAGCAUAGGCCACCAUAAUACAUAAUACAUCAAAAUGAAACUUAAAAAUCACUUGUCUUGUUCACAUUGCAUCAUUUUUGGAGUUUCACCUUCUUCUGCGGUCCUGCGUACUUUCUCUUCUUUUCCUACAAUAAUAGAUUUAUCAUUGAAUCAGUUACAAGAAUGGUUUAAAUCUAUAUAAAGUACAAAAAGUUUUAAAUUUGCAAUAAUACUUUUUUUGGUGCAGUACAAAACAUUGGCUCAGUAGUCUGUUUUUGAGAAAGCACACAAGGAACAG
rnacentral:lncRNA from 1 species